rnacentral:rRNA from 1 species
CGAAAGUUAGAGGUUCGAAGGCGAUCAGAUACCGCCCUAGUUCUAACCAUAAACGAUGCCAACCAGCGAUCCGCCUGAGUUCCUCAAAUGACUCGGCGGGCAGCUUCCGGGAAACCAAAGUGUUUGGGUUCCGGGGGAAGUAUGGUUGCAAAGCUGAAACUUAAAGGAAUUGACGGAAGGGCACCACCAGGAGUGGAGCCUGCGGCUUAAUUUGACUCAACACGGGAAAACUUACCCGGCCCGGACACUGGAAGGAUUGACAGAUUAAGAGCUCUUUCUUGAUUCAGUGGGUGGUGGUGCAUGGCCGUUCUUAGUUGGUGGAGCGAUUUGUCUGGUUAAUUCCGAUAACGAACGAGACUCUAGCCUACUAAAUAGGCGUUCCGAUCCUUUAUGUCGGACGUUCUUCUUAGAGGGACAAGCGGCUUUUAGCCGCACGAGACAGA